rnacentral:tRNA from 1 species
GGGCCCGUGGCCCAGAAUGGACAGGGCGGCGGCCUCCUAAGCCGUAGGUCGUGGGUUCAAGUCCCACCGGGCCCG